rnacentral:lncRNA from 1 species
GGGCCAAAUUAAUUACUAAAAAUUUUUUAAAAAAAUAAUUGAUUGAGAAUCUAUCUAUAGAUGCACAUGGGUUAAUCGAGCCAUACUCGAAUCCAUAUGCAAUCUGUGUGGAUUCUAAUACCCACUAAAGAAUUAAGAUAAUUUUUGUUAAAAAAUGUGUCUCAAAAUCAAUCAUCAACCUGUUAUCAGUUAUGCUAAUUGAUGUAAUUGUAUAUGAAU